CCAAUUGCUUUGAUAAGAAAUAGUAACAUAAAAGAACUAUAAGAGAGAGGUCUUUUUAGCUGAGAGAGAUCUUUAGUACAAUUUAUGUGAAUGCAUCUUGGAGCACUGUUUCGAAACUUUAGUAGAUUACAGCGGGUGCGCCCGUUAAAGCGUCUAGGUAUGUUUGUACCGAAGUUGAGAUGUCAUGUUUUUAUUACAUGAUAAUUAGAGUGGAAUCGCGGAAGUUACUUCUGCCUCUAUA
rnacentral:ncRNA from 1 species